rnacentral:lncRNA from 1 species
ACCAAAACACUGUAGAUAACUCAAAACUGGUUUUAUUGUUCACAAAAGGUUAUCCCAAUAACCUGGAAGUUUCAAAGGGGUAAAGGAAAAUAUACAUUACAGUCUUUGGUUAAGUCCAAGGAGCUCUGCAGCUGAGAAGCUUUUCCAGGUCCCUCUUUCUCAAUGGCUGUGAAUGCCGGAGCAAUCCUCAGCCUCAGUCCAAAUGGCCUAUGUUUGAAGACACAGUCUUCCUCUGAUGCCAAAGAACUGAUUUGAAGGCGCUUGAGACUCCUCAACGUCGUCCAGGUUGGCCCUGAACAUGAAGCAUGUCUCAGGGGUAAGAACCUCAGAAUUGGUGCUGAGAGGUAACUUAAUUUCAAGGGCUUUUAGAGCCAAGUCUCUCUCUCACGUCCAUCUGGUAGAAAUGGUGGAAUGAAAAAGGAAACACUGACCCACUCCAGGAAAGGGUGGAGUCAAACAAUUGAGCUGAGGGAGCAAUAUAACUGGUGCAAACAACAUUGAUUGACAGCUAUAAAUAACCAAUCAAUCCAAGUACGUUUACAGGGUAAAGGCAAAAUCAGGCAUGAUACAACAAUUCAAAUCUUGCAACUUACAGUUCGACAUAUAGAUGGCGCCACCUGCGCUGUCACACUGGUUGACUGUGUCCAUUCUCUUCCCUCUUGUGGUAUGAGCUUGGGACUUCAAUUCCCAGAACCCCCUCUUGGGUUUUUUUUUAUGUUAAUAAUAUAAUAACACUUUAUUUAUAUUUUGCCCUAUCUCCCCAAGGGGACCCGGGGUUGAUCACAGUACACGUACACAGCAAACAUUCAAUGCCGUUUGGACAGACAGAACAGACAGAAAGGAGGUUUGUGUUAAUGUGGGAUUUGUGUAUUGAUAGUGUUUAAAUGCAAUUUGUGCCAUGCUUGUAUUGCAACUGAUUGCAUCAUCCAGAAUGUACCAUAGUGUGGAAAGAGUUAAAUGCCAAGAAGCUAUGAUGAUCUUGCUGUGUGGCUGGAACUAGGGAAUAUCCAGACACAAGUGUGUGUGCAUUACUGAUUCAGUUCAGUUGAGUGCUGUCUGCCUAGAGUUCAAGUCGUCCUGUGUUCAUCUAUCGUCUGUUAGUCUGUUUGUGUUGAUACAGUAAAACUUUGUAAAUAGGAACAAACUUUUUCUGUCAUGUAAUUGACAGCCCUUCAUACAAUCUCAAGAUGACUAACAUGACCUAUGUCAUCCUUCUGUUCUCCAGACUAACCAUACCCAGAUCCCUAAGCCCUUCCUCAUAGGGAUUCGUGGUUUCCACAUUUUUGACCCUUUUAGUCUCCUUUCUCUAGACACCUUCCUGCUUCUCCAUAGCCUUCAUGAAGUGUAGUGCCUAGAACUGGACACGGGGUUAUUCCAGGUUUGGUCUGAGCAAGUCUGAUUAAAACUGUGCUCCUAUUUUCCAUGUUCUGGACACUAUAAUCUUUUUUUAUAUGCGGCAAAGAAUUGCUUUGUUUUGCUGGCCACAACAUCAGGCUGUUGACUCAUUACACAAAGUACUUUGCUGGAGGGAUCUGAAAUGGAUGUCCAUCUCACAGGGCGUACUCAAGGUAUAAUACCUACUAAAAAAUCCUAAGGGCACCAAAUCCCAUCUGACCUUGGAAGCUUAGCAAAAUCAGCUUGUUUGGGUGCUAGAACACCAGUGAAAUCCAAGGUGCUGUACACCAACUUCUGUU